GAUGAACGCUGGCGGCGUGCCUAAUACAUGCGAGUCGAGCGAACGGACGAGAAGCUUGCUUUUCUGAUGUUAGCGGCGGACGGGUGAGUAACACGUGGAUAACCUACCUAUAAGACUGGGAUAACUUCGGGAAACCGGAGCUAAUACCGGAUAAUAUUUUGAACCGCAUGGUUCAAAAGUGAAAGACGGUCUUGCUGUCACUUAUAGAUGGAUCCGCGCUGCAUUAGCUAGUUGGUAAGGUAACGGCUUACCAAGGCAACGAUGCAUAGCCGACCUGAGAGGGUGAUCGGCCACCCUGGAACUGAGACACGGUCCAGACUCCGACGGGAGGCAGCAGUAGGGAAUCUUCCGCAAUGGGCGAAAGCCUGACGGAGCAACGCCGCGUGAGUGAUGAAGGUCUUCGGAUCGUAAAACUCUGUUAUUAGGGAAGAACAUAUGUGUAAGUAACUGUGCACAUCUUGACGGUACCUAAUCAGAAAGCCACGGCUAACUACGUG
rnacentral:rRNA from 1 species